rnacentral:rRNA from 1 species
UACAGAGGGUGCGAGCGUUAAUCGGAAUUACUGGGCGUAAAGGGUGCGUAGGCGGCUAUUUAAGUUAGAUGUGAAAUCCCCGGGCUUAACCUGGGAAUUGCAUUUAAUACUGAAUGACUAGAGUAGAGUAGAGGGUAGUGGAAUUUCCGGUGUAGCGGUGAAAUGCGUAGAUAUCGGAAAGAACAUCAGUGGCGAAGGCGGCUACCUGGACUCAUACUGACGCUGAGGCACGAAAGCAUGGGGAGCAAACAGG